rnacentral:rRNA from 1 species
UACGUAGGUGGCGAGCGUUGUCCGGAUUUACUGGGCGUAAAGAGCGCGCAGGCGGUCGUGCAAGUCGCGUGUGAAAGCCCCCGGCUCAACUGGGGAGGGUCACGCGAUACUGCUCGACUCGAAGGCAGGAGAGGGAAGUGGAAUUCCCGGUGUAGUGGUGAAAUGCGUAGAUAUCGAGAGGAACACCUGCGGCGAAGGCGGGUUGCUGGGCUGACACUGACGCUGAGGCGCGAAAGCUAGGGGAGCGAACGGG